CAAAAACUUUAAGGAGGCAACUAAACACGCCCUUCAUCUUCCUCCCAGUCGACUCUCCAGUCUCCCCUGCAUCUGCAGUGCCCGCGGCGGCGGCGAUGGUGGCGACCACGGCGGUAGCAGCGUGUUGAGGAAACCGGCACCUGUGGCGGCGCCCCCUCCCUCCCUUCCGUCACCCCGUCCUCCAGCUCCUCCUGCUCGCCGCUCGACUCCACGCUGCCGUCCCCAAGGGCUUUCCGCCGCUGCUCUCCUAGCCGACGAUAGCGCCGCGGCUGCCUUUGCAGGUUGUGGCCUCCGGCACUGGCGCAGGCUGCUUGGAACUGUAGCACGCGGAGUUGACCUCAGCCCCCGGCUGGCAGCUGGCUUUGCGUCUAGCGGGCUCCGCCGAUGCCGCUCAAGGUCUGCUCGGCGCCGCAACACAGCUCCACCCAUGGCGUCGAUAUGUUGAAGUCGUGAUGGCACAGCAGCGUCGACAGCAGCAAGGCCAAGGUGCCGGACCUGGCCACCUGGGGGCGGGAGGCGAUGGUGGUGGUGGUGACGCCGCAGGACGCAGGGGUGGGAGGCGGUGGUGGUGGUGGUGACGCCGCAGGAUGCAGGGUGGCCGGCGGCGCGGUCGGAGCCCGCGGAGGUCGCCGGCGGCGCGUGCCGAUGGGCGGCCCCCAUCUUGGAGGCCACCAAACUCCCUGCCGCUCGGCAAGGACAGGAUCUUGGUUCCCAGUCCGGCGACGAGCGGUGGUAGGCGGCCGUGGUAGGAGACUGCCGCACAAUCUUCGGGGAAGAUGGCGGAGUAGUAGAACCCCGUGCAGCUCGCCCAAGAGCACGACUCCUGCGGGUCACCCUCCCUCGCGUCGCCUCCUGCGCCGCCGCGGCUGGUGGUCCGCCAUGAGCUCGGCAUCUCCGUGCCGCGAGCUCGAGGGAGCAGAGUAGAUGUGGAGCAGCGGAGCAAUGCAAAUUUCCUAGCUCCACGUUUCUAUGUUCUUGAUUAUUUUCUUUUCCGCUUUCUUACUGGUCGCCUGCGGUAUCCAAAUCAUGAUGAUUUUUCUAACUAUGAUUUCAUUUAUCUCUUUGUUUUGCAGAUUCUACAUUCUGCAGUUCAAUUCGCUCUACAUAGGACUGCUACUUACAUUAGGGAUUUCACAAAUCUAUCUUCGUUCCUGUUAAUUUUUCUCUGUUAGUGCAGCUCAGUUAGCUUCUGUGGAAGGAAUCUUAAGGCUGCAAUACUACGUAGUUGACCUAUAACCUAUUUCCCAACAAAGAUCCAUCAAUGGUCGUGAAGAACAAGCAGCACAAUAAGGCAACAUUGACCAAUGAAACAAUGAUGGCAUUAGCAGGCUUUGAUCAAAGAGAUGCACAUAAUGGAAAUGAUGUCUUUUCAAACAUGUGAUCAGGAACUCCACCUCAGACUUAUACAACAAAGAGAAUAUAAAUGGUUUCACAUUAGGAAACAUCAGCUCUAUGAAGAUAGUAAAUUCUGCAUAUAUGAGCCAAAGGCCAAGCAGUCCCAAGCAAAAUAUAUCGUCCACCGAAAAACAACUAUAAGACGUGGCGGCAAUGGCGGACCUGCGUUUCCUGGGCUGUGGCUGCGUGAACAUCAACUGGGGCCUGGAAUUACUUGAACACACUAGGAACAGUGCAUCUACAAAACGAUGCUCCAGCGACAAUAUGUGAUCCCAGUCUUUAUUACAAAAAAAAACAAGGCAAGAUAAUGACACUCCCCGGAACUCCAACAAAAACUUAAUACAAGGCAGGAGCGGGACAACCAUUCACCAUUCCACGGAAUUUACUUCAGCACUGCCUAUGAUGGAAGCUGGAAGAUAUAAUAAGGAGUAGCGCUUUUUGUAUAAAUAAUUAUACUAUUAUAUAUGCCUAAUAAUAUAUGGACAUACAACGGUAAUGCAAUGUCUAUAUGUAUUAAUGAUAUCCAACCUUAAUCUAA